CUAGCCUCAGCUCUGCCCCGUCAUCACCAGCCAUUAACCUGAAACAUUUGAAAGAAUUUUGGGCUAAGUACUAAUGUACUUAUGGGCUGCAACUUUUAAAGCAUUUCAUAAUCUGAAGAACAGUUUAUCCAAUCUUACUGACAUGACAUAGAAGGUUUUAAAGAGAAAUAACUUCUAUGCAUGUUAAAACAUUUUCAUAUAUAUAUACUUAAUUAUUUUUGCGCGCGUUUGCACACUCCAUUCUGUUACUCGCUGUGAUCCCGGACCUCUAGCCACCGACGGAUCUCUGUCUCCCGCUGACUUGAACUGAGGGCGUAACCCAGCCAAGUAUAAUAAACCUCGGAAAUUAAUCCAGACAGGCCUAUCAUUACCAUGCUCCGGAACACAUCCCGUCGAGCACCCUUAUAACGCCUCUGGUUAGUGCCCGAUGGAGAUCAACCCACCGAGUCAGCUAACAAGUGUACACAAUUCUCAAACAACGUGUUAGGUCAUAAGAGAACCUCAAUUGAUUAACUGUACGAGCCUUAAACAUGGUAGAGUGCACAAAAAUAUUUUAUUGGAUAAACAGUUUAUAUUUCACGAAUAUUUAAGCUCAAUAGCUAAAUCAUACAUUUGAAAAAUAAGCCCACCUGUCUAGGCAAAGCCUGUCGUUUAACCUUAUCUCUGAAUCGGAAUAGCAGUGCUAAUCCUCCUGAUGCUCAAAGCCUACAAGAAAUCUAUUCUCAAUAGGUCUCCUUGAAUUCUAAUCUUAAGUCAUGGUGAAGUGCUUAAUAUUCUAUGAUUCACUUAGCCGGGUUUUCAAAAUUUAAUGAAUAAAUAAUUGAAAACAUUUCUUUUGAGUUAAGAACACCAACAAUAUUCUUACUCAUAUUUCUUUUAAUAAUUGGAAUUAUAAUAAAACCAAUUAAAUCAUAAAUAUUCUUAUUGCAAAAUAUAAUGCAAAUCAUGUCAUGCUUAACAUAUAAUAAGUAAUUACUUAAAAUAUGCACAUAAUAAUAAUAAUAUAAUAUUAUUAUGAAAAUUAUCCUUUAAAUAAAUUAAUCAAACUAAUAAUAGUUCAAUUAAUUAAAAUAAGAAAGCCCAAUUUAAUUAAUUGAAGGCAAUUCAAAAUCCUUAAAUAAAAUAAGGCCCAACAAAUUUAUUAAUUAAUAGCCCAACUGAAACAAAAAUAAAUAAAAUCUCGGCCCAAAUACUCAUAAAAAUCGGCCCAUGACUCGAGCCCACUCUAAUUAAAAUCGGCCCACAACUCGAGCCCACUCUAAUUAAAAUCGGCCCACUACCAAGCCCAUCACUCAAACCCAACCCCAAAGCCCAACCCUCACCAAGCCCUAGCCCACACUCCCUCCCCCCAGCCGCAUAAUACACACACACAAACAACUAAUCUCACUCUUCUCUCUCGGUCACACUCACACACACAUGUAACAGCACCCUCUCCCCUCUCUCGAUCUUUUCCGGCGGCGGUAGCAACGCCGCCUCCGCCGUCCCUUGACUCCCCUCUCUCCCAUCUCUCGCCUUCUACCUUCAUCUCUCACUCCCCACCGACCUCUCUCUUUUUCUCUUCACAUCGGAAGUCCGCCGCCGCGGAGACUCGCCGGAGGAGCAGCAGCGACGAGCUGCCGCCACCAGCUCUCUUUCUCUGACAGUGGCUGAGCGACAGCAGCCAAGGCCGCCGAGCUCUAGCCUCCCUCUGAAAGCUCAACCCCGCGGUUCCACCUCCGGCGAUAGCAGCCCCAGCCACCACCGCUCCUCCCUCUCGAACUCCGAUCCUCCCUCUGGAACUCCGGCAAUAGCAGCGAGAAGCCACUACCGCCGCCGACUCCGACUCUCUCUGGAUCGACGGCCCGACAGCAGCGGGCAAAACCGCCGUGCCGCGGCCUCCCUCUGUUCUCACCAGCGUCCUCUUCCUCUUACACGGCCGGAUGACCGACAGCGAGCACGCCGCCAUCCCGGCACCGCUCAACUCAACCCAACACACACACACACGGUUAAAGCUUGAAAAUAAAAUCUUUGUCUUUCUUUUCUUUUCAAUAAAUCAUGCUUUCAUGUAUGUAUAUGUAAUAAUGAAAGUCAUACUAUUGAAAUGCUUGAAUGUGUUGCUGUGUGUAUAUCAAAUUGUAUAUAGCUUUGAACAAGCUUGCAGCUUGAAGUUCGAUUUAUGAGCAGAGGUAAAAGAAAUCAAAUGGCUACCUUGUGAGAAAUUUCAGUGAGUGUUGAUCCUGUUUGUUUGCUGGAAAAGAAGGUUCAUAGAUAUGAAUACCAUUUAAAUGAAGGCUCUUAUUCAUAGGGACGAAUGUAAAGAAACUGAUUUAAAAUCUUACUUGUGUGCUGGAUUCUGUCGAAAUGAUCUUGGUGAGCAAAUGAAAAUUUUCAGAAUGAGUGAAGUGAUAGGGAUGUCCGUGUGGUAUAGCUGAACUUCUGUGGGUGUAGCUCUGCACUUAGUUCCUUGGUAUGUAGGAGAAAUAGUGAGUGGAAGGGAAUGAGUAUUAUGGCUAAAGUUUAUUUUGGUG
rnacentral:lncRNA from 1 species